rnacentral:rRNA from 1 species
UUGCUUUCUUUGCUGGCGACCGGCGCACGGGUGAGUAACACGUAUCCAACCUGCCCUUUACUCGGGGAUAGCCUUUCGAAAGAAAGAUUAAUACCCGAUAGCAUAAUGAUUCCGCAUGGUUUCAUUAUUAAAGGAUUCCGGUAAAGGAUGGGGAUGCGUUCCAUUAGGUUGUUGGUAAGGUAACGGCCCACCAAGCCUUCGAUGGAUAGGGGUUCUGAGAGGAAGGUCCCCCACAUUGGAACUGAGACACGGUCCAA